AGGGUUUGAUCAUGGCUCAGGAUGAACGCUGGCGGCGUGCUUAACACAUGCAAGUCGAACGAACCUUCGGGUUAGUGGCGGACGGGUGAGUAACGCGUGAGAAUCUGCCCUCAGGAGGGGGAUAACGGUUGGAAACGACCGCUAAUACCCCAUAUGCCUAUUGGUGAAAUGAAUUUCGCCUGAGGAUGAGCUCGCGUCUGAUUAGCUUGUUGGUGAGGUAAUGGCUCACCAAGGCUUCGAUCAGUAGCUGGUCUGAGAGGAUGAUCAGCCACACUGGGACUGAGACACGGCCCAGACUCCUACGGGAGGCAGCAGUGGGGAAUUUUCCGCAAUGGGCGAAAGCCUGACGGAGCAACGCCGCGUGAGGGACGAAGGCCUCUGGGCUGUAAACCUCUUUUCUCAAGGAAGAAGAUAUGACGGUACUUGAGGAAUAAGCCACGGCUAAUUCCGUGCCAGCCGCCGCGGUAA
rnacentral:rRNA from 1 species